UACGAGGGGUGCAAGCGUUAUUCGGAUUUAUUGGGCGUAAAGGGUGUGUAGGCGGUUUUUUAAGUCAUUUAUUAAAUGCCCUGGCUUAACCAGGGAAGUGUGAGUGAAACUAGAAGACUAGAGUGUGGAAGAGAGAAGUGGAAUUCUCGGAGUAGCGGUAAAAUGCGUGGAUCUCGAGAGGAACACCGAUGGCGAAGGCAGCUUCUUGGUCCAUUACUGACGCUGAAACACGAAAGCGUGGGGAGCAAACAGGAUUAGAUACCCUGGUAGUCCACGCCGUAAACGAUGAUCACUAGAUGUUACUUCUGCUUGCAGGGGUAGUAUCGUAGCUAACGCGUUAAGUGAUCCGCCUGGGGAGUACGGUCGCAAGACUAAAACUUA
rnacentral:rRNA from 1 species